rnacentral:rRNA from 1 species
GUGCCAGCCGCCGCGGUAAAACGUAGGACGCAAACGUUAUCCGGAAUUACUGGGCGUAAAGGGCGCGCAGGCGGUUGGGUAAGUGAGGCAUGAAAGCCCCAUGGCUAAACCUGGGGAGGUUGUCUGAUACUGCCCGACUAGAGUACGAUAGAGGGGUGUAGAAUUCCGCGUGUAGUGGUGAAAUGCGUAGAGAUGCGGAGGAAUACCAGAGGCGAAGGCGGCACCCUGGAUCGUAACUGACGCUGAGGCGCGAAAGCAUGGGUAGCGAACGGGAUUAGAAACCCCCGUAGUCC